UACGUAGGGUGCGAGCGUUAAUCGGAAUUACUGGGCGUAAAGGGUGCGCAGGCGGAUAUGUAAGUUAGAUGUGAAAUCCCCGAGCUUAACUUGGGAAUGGCAUUUAAGACUGCAUGUCUAGAGUUUGUCAGAGGGGGGUAGAAUUCCAAGUGUAGCAGUGAAAUGCGUAGAGAUUUGGAGGAAUACCGGUGGCGAAGGCGACCCCCUGGGAUAGAACUGACGCUCAGGCACGAAAGCGUGGGUAGCAAACAGG
rnacentral:rRNA from 1 species